rnacentral:rRNA from 1 species
AUGUUGAUUUAUGUUGAUGAUAUAAUUGUUGCUAGCUCCUCAUCCGAAGCUACCUCAGCCUUGGUGAGAAAUUUGAAAAAUGAAUUUGCAAUCAAAGACCUAGGAGAGUUGCAUUAUUUUCUAGGCAUAGAAGUCAAAAGAUUAAAUGAAGGUGGUAUCUUACUUACACAAGAAAAAUAUGCCAAAGACAUAUUGAAGCGUGUAGGGAUGACAGAUUGUAAGCCCUCUAGCACACCUAUGUCUACUACUGAAAAGUUGUCAUUGCAUGAAGGAGAAUUACUAAGUCCAGAAGAAGGAACUAAGUAUAGAAGUACAGUUGGUGCACUUCAGUACGUAACACUAACAAGGCCAUAUAUAUCCUUCUCUGUUAAUAAAGUCUGUCAGUUUUUGCGUAUGCUCCUACUUCUGUUCACUGGACAGCCGUAA